UACGGAGGGGGCUAGCGUUGUUCGGAUUUACUGGGCGUAAAGCGCACGUAGGCGGCGUAUCAAGUCAGAGGUGAAAGGCCUGGGCUCAACCUAGGAACGGCCUUUGAUACUGGUAUGCUUGAGUUCGGAAGAGGGUAGUGGGAAUUACCUCAAGUGUAGAGGUGAAAUUCGUAGAUAUUUGGAAGAACACCGGUGGCGAAGGCGGCUACCUGGUCCGAUACUGACGCUGAGUGCGAAAGCGUGGGGAGCGAACAGGAUUAGAUACCGCGUAGUCC
rnacentral:rRNA from 1 species